UACGUAGGGUGCAAGCGUUAAUCGGAAUUACUGGGCGUAAAGCGUGCGCAGGCGGUUGUGCAAGACAGAUGUGAAAUCCCCGGGCUCAACCUGGGAACUGCAUUUGUGACUGCACAGCUUGAGUGCGGCAGAGGGGGAUGGAAUUCCGCGUGUAGCAGUGAAAUGCGUAGAUAUGCGGAGGAACGCCGAUGGCGAAGGCAAUCCCCUGGGCCUGCACUGACGCUCAUGCACGAAAGCGUGGGGAGCAAACGGG
rnacentral:rRNA from 1 species